rnacentral:rRNA from 1 species
AAUGAACGCUGGCGGCGCGCCUAACACAUGCAAGUCGAACGCUGAAGCCAGAAGCUUGCUUCUGGUGGAUGAGUGGCGAACGGGUGAGUAACACGUGAGUAACCUGCCCCUGAUUUCGGGAUAAGCCUGGGAAACCGGGUCUAAUACCGGAUACGACCACCUGACGCAUGUCGGGUGGUGGAAAGUUUUUCGAUCGGGGAUGGGCUCGCGGCCUAUCAGCUUGUUGGUGGGGUAAUGGCCUACCAAGGCGACGACGGGUAGCCGGCCUGAGAGGGCGACCGGCCACACUGGGAUUGAGACACGGCCCAGACGCCUACGGGAGGCAGCAGUGGGGAAUAUUGCACAAUGGGGGAAACCCUGAUGCAGCGACGCAGCGUGCGGGAUGACGGCCUUCGGGUUGUAAACCGCUUUCAGCAGGGAAGAAGCGAAAGUGACGGUACCUGCAGAAGAAGUACCGGCUAACUACGUGCCAGCAGCCGCCGUAA